GCGGGAGUGGCUCAGUGGUAGAGCAUCUCCUUGCCAAGGAGAAAGUCGCGGGUUCGAUCCCCGUCUCCCGCUCC
rnacentral:tRNA from 1 species